CAGCAGAAAAUGAUCGCAGUGCCCGCUGCGUCGUGAUGUCGUUGAGCAGCGCAGGGAGCGGAACGGAGGGCAUGUAUCGGUAGAGUUGGCACCAGGAGAUUGAGGGGUGCUCCCUCCCAGGUGGACGCGUGCUGCUCCGUAACGGGAAUCACAGGCAGCCCCAGGCUGAGCUGAGCUCCUGGGAUGUAAAAUGUGGGCACGAUUUCUGAGAUGUAAACGCUUUCUGUGCCUGAGAUGGGCUACAGGUUGGCUUUAGCACAAAGAAAUUAAUAAAUAACCAGGCGGUGAAGAUUAUGUGACAGACAUAAUAAUAAGGUAAACAACAGGGAGCCUGGUCCUCAGAGCAGCAGAGGAGAUGGUAUCUACAGCUCAUUUCAGGUGACAAGAAGGGAAGGAUGCAGAAGAAUGAAUAAAAGGCAGUAGAUCAUUUCUGCCAUCUGAAUGCCAUGUUUUUCUACUGAACAUCUGCAGACAGACACAUUGUUUAAGCCAAAGUGAAGAGGGAAGCAAGAGGGGAAAACCACAGUGUCAAAAUACACAACGGCUUAUGAAAUGAACUGCUGAAUUGCCCCUGAUCUACACUUGCAGAUAUGGCACACCACUGGUGGAGCCAGCAAAACCGUGCUUUGUCCUCCCAUUACUUUUUAGAGUCCAGAAAUUUUGUUUGAGCUUAACUCAUUGUAUUUCAGGCAUACCUUGCUGCAUUUUGUGGUGGGUGGUGGAAUCAGACAAAUCAGACUGCCCUACCAUAGAGCACACACCUCGCACUGCAGAUCUCAUAGGACUUUGAUACAGAAAUUGUUCUCGAGGUGUUCGGUGGCACUUGUCCAACAGCAGAACAAAGACAGCAACAGAGCUUCCAUUUCAUGCUUUUCGCCAAAUCGUGGCAGGCUGAAGUGAAAUCAGUGCCCAUGGUUCAGCUCCUCUGUUGGGCUCCUCAGACUGUGUAUGUAAGGCCAAUUUAAUCCUAGGAGAAGAUGCUCAGAAAUUGUACUGAGAGGAGUAGCUGGAUGAAACGCUUUGGAGUGAGAACUACUACCACAGGAAAGUAAAAUACCAUCCCUUCCACAGCUGUGCUUCAGGCACAUCUAAAGGCCUGUCCUGGUUUUGCUGCCAUUUCUGUUGAUGAGAAAAAAAUUGAAUUUUUAUUAUCUGUCUUUUUUUUUUUUUUAAACUGGAGAAAUGUAAUUGGAAUGAUUGCCCAGUUAUAUUACUUUUUUUUUUUUUUAGCAAGAGAUUUCUUCUAUAAAAUUUCACAAAUAUUGACAGCAGUCACAGUAAAAUUUAAGGUGUGUGAAAAAUUUGCAGAAUUUCACCAUCCGUUUGCACAUCUUUCUGUCACUUCAGAAAGCUUCUCAGCUUAAACACUUGACAACUGACGGAGCUGUUCAACUUUUAGUGAAUGAGGACCAAGUAAAUAACUGCAAGGCCUGUAACUGCGUGCAUUCACAGAGCUGAAUUGUGCCGGAUGGACACCAGUGACUGAUGGAGGGAUACUGGACCCAGCCCAUAUCUAGGACAGCGAGCGUGCCGUGCCCUGUUCCUUUCAACACUAGGACUUCAGCAGUAGGAAGGUACUAGGAGCAUAAAUGUCAUUUAUACCUGCUGCAAGAUCUCUGCGGGGUGAUAAUACAAAUGACAACCUGUCUCAGUCCUUCCCUAGGGCUGAGAGUUAUCGCAGCAAAAGUUAGAAGAUAAAUUACAUCUUACAACAAAACAGACUUGAAUACAACACAUGCAAGCAUCUCAGUCUGUGCAGAAAGCAGAAAGAGUGUUAUGCUGGGCAGAAGUAAAAAUAAGCAAGCUAAUCUCGAAUGACACUGGAAAAGAAAAUAGCUGAAGGACUUUUCCUCUCUGUGAGUUUCAAGGUAAAUACCACUCCGUUUUUGGUAUCAUUAACAUUUUAUUAUUAUGACUACUAUUAAACAGCAGCCCUGCCUACUUUUGCCCAUAUUUUCUGGGCAUGUCUCAGCAUUUUACAAGUUAGAGAUUGUACUGACAAUUGGAAAUAUUGUAUCAUCAUUUCAUUACCACCUGGCUUGGAGAGAGGAUCACCCAGUAAUUCGGUUUUGUAGGCAUCCACUGAGAUAAAGCAAGGGAGGAGGCUGCUACAAACUCUUCUAUAGUCACUAUGAAACUACGUUUGUUUCCUUAAAGAAGAAACAGCCCUUCUUUAAAUUGAUCAUCACAGCUUCGUUUUUUCCCUUUCUUCUAUUGAUUUGCAAGAAAUAGGGUUGGUUGGAUUGUUUCAUGCCACAAGAGAUAUCAUUCCUCUUUCUCUCCAAAUGACUCAGGGUCAAUGUAAUCUGAAAAACAGUUCUAACAAAACAAGCUCUUUGCAGAUAAACCCACAAGAACAAAAUCCAGAACAAGUCUCCUCCAAAAAUUGUUUGCAUGUUUCCCUUUCCUUUACACGUGUAUUUACUGGUAUGCAUGAUAAACAUCAUCCAGUUUUACUCGGAAACUCUUACAUAAAGAUGAGAAUGGGAACGUGAUAUGUCAGAGAGGUUGCAUUUCACCUACUUUGCCUGGAAGAGCUCUUACAAUAACUAUAAUUGGAAACAAAAGUGAGAAACAGCACUUAAUAAAAAUUACACGGAAUCAGAU
rnacentral:lncRNA from 7 species